AGUGAACGCUGGCGGUAGGCCUAACACAUGCAAGUCGAACGGCAGCACAGUAAGAGCCUGCUCUUACGGGUGGCGAGUGGCGGACGGGUGAGGAAUACAUCGGAAUCUACUUUUUCGUGGGGGAUAACGUAGGGAAACUUACGCUAAUACCGCAGACGACCUACGGGUGAAAGCAGGGGAUCUUCGGACCUUGCGCGAUUGAAUGAGCCGAUGUCGGAUUAGCUAGUUGGCGGGGUAAAGGCCCACGAAGGCGACGAUCCGUAGCUGGUGUGAGAGGAUGAUCAGCCACACUGGAACUGAGACACGGUCCAGACUCCUACGGGAGGCAGCAGUGGGGAAUAUUGGACAAUGGGCGCAAGCCUGAUCCAGCCAUACCGCGUGGGUGAAGAAGGCCUUCGGGUUGUAAAGCCCUUUUGUUGGGAAAGAAAAGCAGCAGGUUAAUACCCCGCUGUUCUGACGGUACCCAAAGAAUAAGCACCGGCUAACUUCGUG
rnacentral:rRNA from 1 species